AACUAAGAUUGUUAUUGGUAUGAGCUUUUGUGUACAUUCACACUUCUUCAGAUACAUCUGAAGAAUUCAUAAUUUGAAGAAGUGUACAUGUACACGAAAGCUCAUACCAAUAACAAACUUAGUUGG
rnacentral:miRNA from 1 species